rnacentral:rRNA from 1 species
GGUAAACACCCCGGACCGCUACCUGCUGCAGGAUCAUUAAAGAGAGGGGCCCCGCGCUCCUGGGGACUCCGGUCCCCGCCUCUACACCCUGUGAUUAUCUUACCUUUUGUUGCUUUGGCGGGAAGCCGGCCCCCGGGUCGGUUGGUCCGCAGGGAUCACCCCGCCAGCAGCCCACCGAAACUCGUUUUAUGCGUGCCAGUCUGAGUCCAACUUUAUAAUGAAUCAAAACUUUCAACAACGGAUCUCUUGGUUCUGGCAUCGAUGAAGAACGCAGCGAAAUGCGAUAAGUAAUGUGAAUUGCAGAAUUCAGUGAAUCAUCGAAUCUUUGAACGCACAUUGCGCCCCUCGGUAUUCCGGGGGGCAUGCCUGUUCGAGCGUCAUUGCACCACUCAAGCGUAGCUUGGUAUUGGGUUCUUCGCCCGGGGUUUCCCGCGGCGUGCCCGAAAAGCAUUGGCGGUCCGGAGUGACUUUAAGCGUAGUAAAAUUUUCUCCCGCUUUGAAAGCCUCGCCCCGGGUCCGGCCAGACAACCCCCACAUAUCUCACGAUUGACCUCGGAUCAGGUAGGGAUACCCGCUGAACUUAAGCAUAUCAAUAAGCCGGAGGAACUUAU